rnacentral:rRNA from 1 species
GACGAACGCUGGCGGCGUGCUUAACACAUGCAAGUCGAACGGAAAGGCCCCCUUGUGGGGUACUCGAGUGGCGAACGGGUGAGUAACACGUGAGUAACCUACCCUUGACUUUGGGAUAACUUCAGGAAACUGGGGCUAAUACCGGAUAGGAGCUCCUGCUGCAUGGUGGGGGUUGGAAAGUUUCGGCGGUUGGGGAUGGACUCGCGGCUUAUCAGCUUGUUGGUGGGGUAGUGGCUCACCAAGGCUUUGACGGGUAGCCGGCCUGAGAGGGUGACCGGCCACAUUGGGACUGAGAUACGGCCCAGACUCCUACGGGAGGCAGCAGUGGGGAAUAUUGCACAAUUGGCGGAAGCCUGAUGCAGCAACGCCGCGUGCGGGAUGACGGCCUUCGGGUUGUAAACCGCUUUCGCCUGUGACGAAGCGUGAGUGACGGUAAUGGGUAAAGAAGCACCGGCUAACUACGUG